UGUGCCAGCAGCCGCGGUAAUACGGAGGGUGCAAGCGUUAUCCGGAUUUAUUGGGUUUAAAGGGUGCGUAGGCGGUAUUUUAAGUCAGUGGUGAAAUGUUGCAGCCUAACUGUAGAACUGCCAUUGAAACUGAAGUACUUGAGUAAUCUUGAGGUAGGCGGAAUGUGUAGUGUAGCGGUGAAAUGCAUAGAUAUUACACAGAACACCGAUUGCGAAGGCAGCUUACUAAGGAUACACUGACGCUGAGGCACGAAAGCGUGGGGAUCGAACAGGAUUAGAUACCCUGGUAGUCCACGCAGUAAACGAUGAUGACUCGCUGUUGGCGAUACACAGUCAGCGGCUUAGCGAAAGCGAUAAGUCGUCCACCUGGGGAGUACGCUCGCAAGAGUGAAACUCAAAGGAAUUGACGGGGGCCCGCACAAGCGGAGGAACAUGUGGUUUAAUUCGAUGAUACGCGAGGAACCUUACCUGGGCUUAAAUGUGCUCUGACAGCUGAUGAAAGUUGGCCUUCCGCAAGGACAGAGUACAAGGUGCUGCAUGGUUGUCGUCAGCUCGUGCCGUGAGGUGUCGGGUUAAGUCCCAUAACGAGCGCAACCCUUAUUGUCAGUUGCUAACAGGUAAUGCUGAGGACUCUGGCGAGACUGCCACCGUAAGGUGAGAGGAAGGUGGGGAUGACGUCAAAUCAGCACGGCCCUUAUGUCCAGGGCUACACACGUGUUACAAUGGCCGAUACAAAGGGCAGCUACCAGGCAACUGGAUGCUAAUCUCGAAAGUCGGUCUCAGUUCGGAUCGAAGUCUGCAACCCGACUUCGUGAAGCUGGAUUCGCUAGUAAUCGCGCAUCAGCCAUGGCGCGGUGAAUACGUUCCCGGGCCUUGUACACACCGCCCGUCAAACCAUGGGAGUUGAGGGUACCUGAAGUAUGUGACCGCAAGGAGCGUCCUAGGGUAAAAUCAAUGACUGGGGUUA
rnacentral:rRNA from 1 species